GGAGAGAUGGCAGAGUGGUCGAAUGCGUUCGACUUGAAAUCGAAUGUUGUGAAAGCAACCGAGGGUUCGAAUCCCUCUCUCUCCGUCA
rnacentral:tRNA from 1 species